ACUGUUGUAGGUGCUGUGGGGCAAGUGAGAUUAAGACCUUGCCCUCUAAGUAAUAUUAAAUAGAUGAUAAUGUGAUAGCAAGUGACAGCUGGAGUGAGAGACUGUGCUUGAGUUAGGGUAAUCAAGAAAGGUCUCAUAGAAGAAGUGGUUAGGUAAGACUGGGUGUAGUCAUGUGAAGAUGUAGAGAAGAACUUUCCAAGCAGAAGAGACACAAAAUGCAAAAGCUAUGAGAUGGGCAAGAGCAUAUGUGUUAAUAAGACAGAAGGAAAGCCUGUGUGGAUGAGCAAUGGGAAAAGAGAAGAGAAAAGAAAAGAAAGAUGAAGUCUGAAGUCUAAGGAACAGGAACAAGUCUGAAUCUUGUACAGCCUUGUAGCCCAUGCAGGAGUCUAAAAACUCAAACGUAUCUAAAAGCCAUGACACAGAAGGCCUGGAGACUGCAUGGAAUGAUGAGGACUGCAGUGAACUCUGAAGUGCCUACCCAUGUGAAACGAACAAGUGCUAUUCGGAAGAAGCAGGUUGUGUUAAUUCUGAAGGUGAUUUUAAUACCCCACAUCUUUACGUUUGAGCCGGCAGCCAGCAGUUGAAAUUGACAUGUGAGAGUUCUUCUAAGUCCCAGAUGCUAGCUGCCAACUGCCUUUUUGUUCUUGUUUCCUUGGAAACGGAGAUUGGUUUCAUGAAAACAAGGUGGAAGUAGCUGGAUGCCAGUUUUCUGAGAUUUGCCCAAACAUGGAUGACUUGCAUGUUACGAAAGGAUUUUGCCGUGUCAAAUGUUUUCAUUUCGUUUAUUAGUUAAGACAUAUAAUUCAAAACUCUUUGGCCACCUCUAGGAGUAUGUAUUUCAUUAAGAUUAUGUAAAAACUACUAAUAGUUUCACAAUUGAAUACAUAAGUAUGUGCCUAUUUGGGGAGGAAGGGGCAUUCAAAUGACAAUUAACAGUAACAGAGUAACAGAAACUGAAAUCUCCGGCCUACCUCUAGGUCCGUUCCCAAGAAUAACAUUGUUAGUCUCACCCCAAUUCUAUUUAGAAUUUAGUGCUAUUCAUCUGUAUCCUGAUAUAAUCAUUGUUAAAACAAUUAAUUUUGCUCUCAUUACGAAAAAAUAAAGAAUUUACCUAAAACCUAUCUCUUUUCCUCUUGUACAUCGAAGGUUUGUUAUAAUUUUCCAUUCUGCUAAUGAUUCUCAUUUUAAAGCAUUCAAAUUGAUGUUAAUUGCAUAAGGAAUACAGUAAUAUUUCCUCCUGAUAAAAAUCUAAAAUGUUACAAAUAAGGCUGUUACCCCUUUGAUUCUCAUUUUGAUCUACACAAAUAAUUGAAUAUUUGUAAGGCUGUGAUACAAUAAUCACAAAUAAGUGAUACAAUAAUCACUUUGGCCUCCCAAAGUGCUGGGAUUACAGGCAUGAGCCACUGCGUCUGGCCAACAUUUACUUUUAACGUGUUACUGAAACUACUAUUCAGGUUGAGUAUGUACAUAAUGGAAGCUGACUCAAAAUUUAACUGCUCCUAUAAGAAAAAAAACUAUGCAUUUUCAUAUUAUUGUCCAUCCAUUCAUUUAUUCAUUCAUUAAAUUGUGUAUUUAUUAAUGCAGAGCCAGAUAUUAUGAAUACUCAGAUGAUUAAGAACCAUAUAUUACUCUCAAGAAUACACUGUGAAGUGAAAAGAUCAAUGGUCAGUCCCAGACAUCGAUUUCCAAGCAAAUAUUAAGUCAUUAGAUCAAUAGUAGCCAAUAAUAGGACCAAGCCUCUUUCCCUUUGGAUUCCUAUCCAGCUGUUGCCUCUGUGAGCAAUGCAGCUUCCUAAUUUCUUUGGUAUACAAGCUUUUCUACUGUUUUCUUUACAUUUCUAAGGCCUCUGGCCACCACUUUUAACAUCUAGUUUAUUAAUUGUCACUACUUAAGUUAAUCUUUGUUCUAAGAAACAUAUUUUCUCAAAAAGAUCUAGAAAGAGAUAAGUUUCAUUAAUGGAGACUUUUCAUAUUAAAAAGUUGCUGGAAACCGUUUUCUCAUGCUUUUAAAAAAUAAUUAUUUUAAGAAUAAGGUGGUAUUCCAAUAAAGGUCAUAAUUAACAUAAACUUAAUAAAAUUUGACCUAGGGAGGGUUUACUUAAUGUAAGCUUCAUUAGAAAUCUCUUUUAUUCUAAAAUAUUAAACCUAAUCAACCCAAACAAAAUUACUCAGCAUGCUGAAUAUGAUACUGAAUGUAGUUCUGUACAGUGUUUUCUUUAAAUUUGAAAGGUCAAUCCAGACUAUCAACCCAUGACCAGCAAUUACCCAUUACAGAAUCGUCAAUAAUUUUAACUUUGAAAAUAGUAGACAGAAAAUGGGAGUUCAUAAUUAUUUGCUGAAUGAGUGAAUGGGAGCUGGAACAGGACUCAGGCAACCUAGUGUAAUUACAACUAGUUUGUAUUCCCUGGCCCUAGUUACCUCAUCUGCAGAGUGAGAUGCGUGGAUACUGUUCGAUUGUAACAUAUUUUAUAUGUAUUAGGUUGGUGCAAAAGUAAUUGUAAUUUUUGGCCUUACUUUCAUUGGCAAAAACUACAAUUACUUUUGCACCAAUCUAAAUACUUUCUAUAUACUGGUGAAGACAGAAAUUCAAUGAUUCAAAAAUACAAUAGGAAUGUUUUUCCCUUCCAAGUACUUUCAGUUUAGAAAAAUGGCCAAAAUUUCUGUCUGUGAUAGUUCUAAUAUUGAAAAAGUAAAGGUAAUAUAAACCAUAAUAAACAGCAUAAGUAUAUUUUAUGUGAUUAUUUUGAUCAUUUAUUCCCCAAUACUAUAUGACUAUUUCCUGUGUGACAUGCACCCCACCAAGUGCUUAGUAUGUAAUAUAAAAAUAUAGACAUACCUCAUUUUAUUGCACUUUAUUUUAUUGUACUUUGUAUUAUGUUUUUUACAAAUUGAAGGUUUAUAGAAAUUCUGCAUCCAGCAAGUCUAUCAGUGCUCUUUUUCUAAUAGCAUGUCCUCACUUUCUGUCUCUGUGUCACAUUUUGGUAAUUCCCACAGUACUUCAAACUUUUUUAUUAUUAAUAUAUCUGUUACUGUUAUCUGUCAUCAGUGAUCUUGCAUGUUAUUUUUGUAAUUGUAUUGUAAUUGUACUGGGGCACCUGAACUGUGCCCACAGGACAAAUAAGAUGGCAAACUUAAUCAAUAAAUGUUCUGUGUAUUCUGACUGCUCCACCAACGGGUCAUUCCCAUUUCUCUCCAUCUCCUUAGAUCUCCCUAUUACCUGAGACACAAUAUUAUGGAAAUUGGGUUAAUUAAUAACCCUACAGUAACCUCUAAACAUUCAAAUGGAAGGAAGAAUCUCAUCUCUCUCACUUUAAAGCAAAAGCUAUGAAUGAUUAAGCUUAGUGAGGAGGGCAUAUCAAAAGCCAAGAUAGGCCGAAAGCUAGGUCCCUUGUGCCAAACAGCCAAUUCGUGAAUGCAAAGGAAAAGUUAUUGAAGAAAACUAAAAGUGCUCCUCCAGCAAACACACAAUGAUAAGAAAGUGAGAAACUCCUAUUGUUGAUGUGGAGAAAGGUUGAAUGGUCUAGAUAGAAGGUCAAACAAGCCAGAUUUCCUUAAUCCAAAGCCUAAUCCAGAAUAAGACUCUAACUCUCUUCAAUUCUAUGAAUGCUGAAAGAAAGAGAUGAGGAAGCUGAUGAAGAAAAAUUUGAAGCCAGCAGAGGUUGGUUCAUGAGGCUUAAAGAAAGAAGCCAUCUCCAAAACACGAAAGUGCAAAGUGAAGAAGCAAGUGCUGAUACAGAAAUUGCAGCAACCUAUCCAGAAGAUCCAGCUAAGACCUUUGAUGAGUGUAGCUACAUUAAACAAUAUAUUUUCUAUGUAGACAAAACAGCCUUCAAUUAGAAGAUAAUGCCAUCAAGAACUUUCACAGAAAAGAGAGGUCAAUGACUGGCCUCAAAGCUUCAAAGGACAGGCUGACUCUCUAAUAGGUGAAAGGGAGUUGCCUCGUCUCAUGAGACUUUGGACUGUGGACUUUUGAGUUAAUGCUGAAAUGAGUUAAGACUUGGGGGACUGUUGAGAAGGGAUGAUUGUAUUUUGCAAUAUGAGAAGGACAUGAGAUGUGGGAGGGGCCAGGGCUGAAAUGAUAUGGUUUGGAUUUGCGUCCCUGCCCAAAUCUCAUGUAGAAUUGUAAUCCCCAGUGUUGGAGAAGGGGCCUGGUGGGAGGUGAUUGGAUCAUGGGGGAGGAUUGCCCCCUUGCUGUUCUUGUGAUAUUGAGUGAGUUCUCAGGAGAUCUGGCUGAUUAAAAGUGUGUAGCACCUCCCCCUGUGCUGUCUUCCUCCCACUCCAGCCAUGUAAGACGUGCUUGCUUUUCCCUCACCCUCAGCCAUGAUUCUAAGUUUCCUGAGGCCUCCCCAGCCAUGCUUCAUGUACAGCCUGUGGAACCAUGCACCAAUUAAACCUCUUGUCU
rnacentral:lncRNA from 1 species